UCUACCUAGAGGGUUUCUGUCGAUCAAGGGCGAGAGUAGGAGUAUCCAACAGGAUUAGAGACCCUGGUAGUUCCUACCUUAAACGAUGCCGACAGGAGUUUGUCAUUUGUUAAUGGCAGAAUCUUUGGAGAAAUCAUAGUUCUUGGGCUCUGGGGGAACUACGACCGCAAGGCUGAAACUUGAAGGAAUUGACGGAAGGGCACACCAGGGGUGGAGCCUGUGGCUUAAUUUGAAUCAACACGGGGAAACUUACCAGGACCAGAUGUUUUUUAUGACUGACAGGCUUCGGGUCUUUCAGGAUAUUGUUUUUGGUGGUGCAUGGCCGUUGGUGGUGCGUGGGUUGACCUGUCUAGCGUUGAUUCAGCUAACGAGCGAGAUUAUCGCCAAUUAUUUACUUUGCCGAAGUCCUUCGGUUAAAGUUCUAAUUGGGACUCCCUGCGAUUUUAGCAGGUGGAAGAGGGUAGCAAUAACAGGUCCGUGAUGCCCUUUAGAUGCUCUGGGCUGCACGCGUGCUACAAUGUUAGGAUCAAUAGGACUGCGAGCCUGAGAGGGUGCGCUACUCUUAUAAUCCCUAACGUAGUUGGGAUUGACGUUUGUAAUCAGCGUCAUGAACCAGGAAUCCCUUGUAAAUGUGUGUCAACAACGCACGUUGAAUACGUCCCUGCCCUUUGUACACACCGCCCGUCGCUCCUACCGAUUGGAUGACUCGGUGAAAUCACCGGAUGCUUACGAACAGAAAGUGAUUAAAUCACGUUAUCUAGAGGAAGGAGAAGUCGUAACAAGGUAACGGUAGGUGAACCUGCCGUUGGAU
rnacentral:ncRNA from 2 species